GGUGUUUAAGAUUUAAAGACACCUUUUAUCGUAAGAUAUCAAAAUAAAUCCCUUGAAUUGCUGGAAACUCUCUAAGGCAGUAAAACUACAAUAACUAAGAAAUUGGUUAUGAAUGUUUAAAAAUUUACUGUUAUGUGACAAUCAGCAGCGAAGCACCUAAGGACAGUCGAGAUGAUUGACUAUGGUGAACGUUCAACGACUAUUCCGAAAGGAAGUACAACUCAAGUGAGUUGGAAGCGGGGGAG
rnacentral:ribozyme from 1 species